CCUACGGGAGGCAGCAGUAGGGAAUCUUCCACAAUGGGCGCGAGCCUGAUGGAGCAACACCGCGUGAGUGAAGAAGGGUUUCGGCGCGUAAAGCUCUGUUGUUGGAGAAGAAUGUGCGCGAGAGUAACUGUUCACGCAGUGACGGUAUCCAACCAGAAAGUCACGGCUCACUACGUGCCAGCCGCCGCGGUGAUAAGUAGGUGGCAAGGGUUAUACGGAUUUAUUGGGCGUAAAGCGAUCGCAGGCGGUUGCAUAGGUCUGAUGUGAAAGCCUUCGGCUUAACCCAAGAAGUGCAGCGGAAACCGGGCGACUUGAGUGCAGAAGAGGAUAGUGGAACUCCAGGUGUAGCGGUGGAAUGCGUAGAUAUAUGGCAGAACACCAGUGGCGAAGGCGGCUGUCUGGUCUGUAACUGACGCUGAGGCUCGAAAGCAUGGGUAGCGAACAGGAUUAGAUACCCCUGUAGUC
rnacentral:rRNA from 1 species